rnacentral:rRNA from 1 species
AGUCGAGCUGAGUCGAUUAAGAGCUUGCUCUUAUGAAGUUAGCGGCGGACGGGUGAGUAACACGUGGGUAACCUGCCCAUAAGACUGGGAUAACUCCGGGAAACCGGGGCUAAUACCGGAUAAUAUUUUGAACUGCAUGGUUCGAAAUUGAAAGGCGGCUUCGGCUGUCACUUAUGGAUGGACCCGCGUCGCAUUAGCUAGUUGGUGAGGUAACGGCUCACCAAGGCAACGAUGCGUAGCCGACCUGAGAGGGUGAUCGGCCACACUGGGACUGAGACACGGCCCAGACUCCUACGGGAGGCAGCAGUAGGGAAUCUUCCGCAAUGGACGAAAGUCUGACGGAGCAACGCCGCGUGAGUGAUGAAGGCUUUCGGGUCGUAAAACUCUGUUGUUAGGGAAGAACAAGUGCUAGUUGAAUAAGCUGGCACCUUGACGGUACCUAACCAGAAAGCCACGGCUAACUACGUGCCAGCAGCCGCGGUAAUACGUAGGUGGCAAGCGUUAUCCGGAAUUAUUGGGCGUAAAGCGCGCGCAGGUGGUUUCUUAAGUCUGAUGUGAAAGCCCACGGCUCAACCGUGGAGGGUCAUUGGAAACUGGGAGACUUGAGUGCAGAAGAGGAAAGUGGAAUUCCAUGUGUAGCGGUGAAAUGCGUAGAGAUAUGGAGGAACACCAGUGGCGAAGGCGACUUUCUGGUCUGUAACUGACACUGAGGCGGUCGGGGAAACCUGAAAGC